CAACAUCUCCCAUAGCAGCGGCUCUCAGACCUUUUGGGGUUGGUGGAGACAUUUUAAAUUGUGGGCACCAAAUGGCUGCCAAGGGGGCAUAAAGGUAAAGGUAAAGGGACCCCUGACUAUUAGGUCCAGUCGUGACCGACUCUGGGGUUGCGGCGCUCAUCUCGCUUUAUUGCCCGAGGGAGCUGAUGUACAGCUUCCGGGUCAUGUGGCCAGUAUGACUAAGCCGCUUCUGGCGAACCAGAGCAGCGCAUAGAAACACUGUUUACCUUCCCGCCAGAGCGGUACCUAUUUAUCUACUUGCACUUUGACACGAUUUUGAACUGCUAGGUUGGCAGGAGCAGGGACCAAGCAAUGGGAGCUUACCCCGUCGCGGGGAUUCGAACCGCCGACUUUCUGGUCGGCAAGUCCUAGGCUCUGUGGUUUAACCCACAGCGCCACCCGCGUCCCUCCAAGGGGGCAUGGCUAGUCACAAAGGACAAGUAUCAUGCCCAAGAAACUGAGUGCAAGGCACAGGUGGGGUGUGAACCCAACAGUGUAAAACCAUCAUUUUUUUCCAACAGAAUACUGAGAAAGCAAGCCAGUUAAUUCCAAUAAAUCACAUCUAAAUGAACUCCCUCAUCUUUAUUUCAAGAUAAUUCCCUUAACAACCUCCCUGCCCCCACCCCAUCCCUCUCUCUCUCACACACACACCUCAUGUAGCACCACCUCUUCUCCUCCCCCAUGACCUCAGCCUCUUUUAUUUCAGUCCUCAUGGCACUUUUUCUUUUUUCUUUUUUGCUUUUCCUGCCCCAGUUCUGCCCUCUGGCCGUGGCACCAUCUGUCCCUCUCUAAGGCACCAUCCACCUCAUUUCCUGUCCUCCCUGCAUGACUCUGGCUCUCCUCUUUUGUGUCCUCUUCCCAUCUGCUCUCCAGCAAGUUAACAGCAAGCAGUCAGAAGAAUAGCACAGAGAGGGUUUGUGUUGGUUUUUAAAAAUAUACCAUCUGAGGCAGGGGGAUAGCUUAGUAGCCACCAUGGCAGGCGUCUCUGGUGAUGAUUUGACACCUAGGCACCACAUUGCAGAUCCUAGCCUUAAGGCAACACGGCCAGAGCCUUGUACUGCAUAAAUAAUGGUAACAGUCUAGGAUAUUCACUGAGAUGAUGCGUCUUCAUGACAGCUAAUUGUUGGAUUUUUUCUCUCUACAUAACCACACUGGAAUGAAGUGCAUUGUAAGAACUGAAAAGAGAAUUUUGUAGGGUGUCCACAGUUAAGGAUGAUGCAAUCUAAGUCCCUACGUGUGCAUCUGUGGGAAGGAACCAAAAAGCCUGAGUGUGUGUCUUUAAAAAGGAACAAAGGGGGACAGACUGCAAUUAGGAGUUUUUUGAGUAAGACAAAAAAAAGAAGUCUUCUAGGAGAGCUGGCUACUUUGGUGAUCUGACAUAGGAAUGUGUCUUUGACUGUGUCUUUGUGUGUUUAAGCUUCAUUUCUACGUAUGUUCAACCUACAUAUUUGUAAAUAAAUAUUUCAAAAUGCCAUUAGUCACUAGUGAUAUCCUCCCAACCUGGGUAAGCAUUUUGUCCCUGGGAGUGAGCACAGCAAUGCAGAAAGAGACUGACGCUGCUCUCAAGCAUCUUAUCUUAAACAUUUAUUUACUGACGCUGACACUGUGUCUUAUACAAUAACGUUGGAACUAGAUUUCAAAUGUAUGCACGGUGUUGAAAAUCAAGAUGGGAAACAGCUGAAGUUCACCACUUCUGUCUACUUUUCUACAAUAGCAAUGUUGCAAUGCAUUCAGAGCACAUUUGUUAUGAAAAUUACUUUCCCCUAAACCAACAAUAACAUGGAUUAUUAAUACACCCAGAGCUCUGACCUUUAUAUUCAUAAAAUAAUCAUCAAGCAACUAAACCCCUAGCAUUGUUUGGCUUCAGUCCAGAAAAACAGCUCCUUCACUUAAUAUACUUCUAAUUGCUUCUGCAACCUAAUCAACUCUGAUAGUCACAACAAUUAAUCUGACUCUGUCUCUUCAAGCAAAUCUCCUGUCAUUGUUUAAAUGUACAAAUUUUAUUAUUUGGGGGCAACCUUUCUGUUGUUGAAGAAGUAGACAGGGAAAAGGUUCAAAAAGGUGCCAACUGACUAUGGACCUAAUAUAUAGAAUGGCUUAUCCUUUUAAAUAAAUGUUAACGAAGCCCGAAUUACAUUACUUCCGUAGUGUGGUAAUAUAGUGUUGAGACUAUCCUUGUCCAGGCUGGCCACGUAAUUAAGCAUCUGAUUCAUUGUGCCCAACUAUCUAGUGAGGCAAUGAGGUGAGUAUCUUUUAAACUUCUGUCAUAGCAUGCAGAUCACUGAGCUGAACAGGAAACAAAGCAAUUAAGUAAGCUGGUUCAGUUUCACCAUAUACAGUAAUCAGUUUCGGGAAGGCUCAGCAUAUCCUUCCUACAUGAAACAGCAGGAGUCGGUGUGACUGCCAAUAUUUGUUCUCCUUCCACAUGCUAACAUCUGCCAAUAUUUUGCUGUUGGGUUUUUUUUAAGUGCUUUUGUAUAAAAACACUCUUUAAAAAAAAUUACCCCUAACUUGUGAAACAUCUUGCAGGAUGAAGAAUUCUGGAUAACUCAAAAGCUUGCUACAUUUUGUGUAUGUGUGUGUGUGUCUGUGUAUCACAUUUCUAUCCUGCCCUUCCUCCCAUUGCAGCGGAAAACACGGAAGUGCUAAAACAAUACAAUUAAAUAUAAAAUAAGAGCAUGUUUAAAACAUUUGAAUGUUGCUGUUGCUACCAAGGAAAAAAGGGCAGCCACAUUCCUGCAUGCUCAUAAAUUUGUACUAGAUGUCAAGCUGCAUGGCUGGGCCAACCUGCAGACACGAAUGUGUGCAGCACAUCCAGAUGCACAUCAUUCUGUGCCGUCAGCCAAUGCUGCAUUGACUGAUCACCCAGUGCUUUAUUAUUAAUUUUAGCACUUAUACCCUGCCUUUCUAUAACAAAAUCAGGGCAGGUAUUCAGAUGAAAGUUCACAUUCUUACUCCUCUCUGGAUACAGGCUGAUUAUUGCAUGUAGCUUCUCCAUCUGCGUUGGCAAUUGUGAAAUAAAGGUGUGUCUUGACAUGGCCUGUCUAUCACAUUUACUAUCACCCAUUGGUGGAAUGGACAGGUACAUCUACGUAAGUUUAACAUACAAUCCUGAACUUUAGAAACAUCGAAAGGCUGCCAGGUCUCUCCCACCUCUGAUAUAAGAAACAGAAUGCAAUGGAUCAGGGGACCAAUUCAGGUAGUCCAACCCUGGGGACUAAUGGGACCUGUUAAUGCCAUAUCCUGGGUUGGUAUAUAUGUACAUUAUAUAUGUAUAUAGUGUGUUAUAUAUUAAAUAUAAUAUAUAAUAAUAUAUUAAAGAAGUCUCAUUGCAUGUAUCAGUGAUACCAAGAUAUUCCAUAAGUGUGUUGCUUGGCUUUUCGAUUCAUGAAGGCAAAUGUGUUAUAUGGACUUGUUUAAUUCAGUGGCUAAUUUUAGCCGGCUGAUUCUAAUCAAAUAUAUUUUUCUUUUUAGACUGCAUAAUACGAAUUCAUUCAUGAGAUCUCAGCUUGAUGGAAGGACAAUGUGCAGUAUACAGUGCAAGGAUGACAGGCCCUUCAAUCUUCUCUGUCACAUUCCUUGUAAAUAAUCUGGUCAAGGCUAUAGCCUAUGUCUUAUCUAUAAUAUGAUAAAAAUGUGAACUGUGUUCAGCUGCAUUUCAACUACACAAUGCACUUGCUUAGCCAGCCAUAGGUUCUCCCAAAGAUGAAAACUAUAACACUUUUCUUACAUUUGUAACUAUUAUGCAUUCCUUUGAUCUUAGGCUCCUUUUAUCUUAAACAUAAAUUGUUGUUUCUCAUGUUAAGAUAUUGACUGUAUUCAUAUUAUACCAAAGUUUUGCUAUUAUAUAUAAACACUUGCUUUUGAA
rnacentral:lncRNA from 1 species